GUACAGUCUAUUGGAGUUGUGUACUCUUCCUAAUGAACUCUUGAUGUUACCCAUAAUUAGGGUGUGGUCGUCACAGCCCAGUAAUUAUACUACUUCCAUGGACUACAGGAAGUCUAAAUAGAGAUCUAUACUUCUGAAGAAAAUUAAUGGAUAGAUCUACUUAUGUUGAAAGAGACUGUCAUACACAAAGUCAGACAUUCGAACCUUGUAGGCCAACCGAAGCUGAUGUUGGGAGAGAGACUGGCCAUUCUGCAAACAAAUUCAGGGCUAGAUCUAUAUCUAGCACAAGUAGUGAUGAUGUCGAGAGAGACUGCUCUAGAUCUGUUAAGAGAACCAGGCCCCAGAGUGAUGUUGAGGGAGACUCUCCAAUAAAAAUACCUCGUGUUUUCAACAGUGUUCACGAUCAGUCGCUCUACUUAGCUACUUCAAAGGAUAAGAUUGAAGAAGCUAUAUUUCUCUUAGCCCAAGGAGCUAAUCCAAACUAUAUCUUUCCAGAACCACCUAGGUAUAGCACACUUCACAAAGCAUGCUACAAUAACAACUCACAAUUAAUAAAGGAACUACUAAAACAUGAUGUACUGAACACAAUCAAUCUAAAGACGAUCAAUGGCUAUACUCCCUUGCACAUAGCGUGCGUGUUUGGACACAUACAAUGCAUAAAGCUUCUUCUCGAAAGCUGUAUCUGCAAUACAGAAGUGAAAAAUAACGAAGAUAAAACACCCUUGGAUCUGGUAAAAGCAAAAGCAAAAGGUGAACUAAAUGGAAAAUUCAACAAAAUCCAGAAGUACAUGGAAUGUUUUUUGCUAACAGCCCACCUAGCAAUACCUUUAUGACAAGUUCUGACGUGUUUUCCCAUCGUAUUGAUAUUGACAAGCACCUGCGUUCACUUUUGGAGGUCUUAUCUGAAGUGUUUUGUAAAUGGUUUGAAUUUGGAGUUGAACUUCAAAUUGAAGGCUCUGAGCUAGAGCGAUUCAGUAUGGAAAAUCAAGGAGUCCAACAACAGUGUUUCACAGCUAUGCUGGUAUAUUUUUUCACUCAUGAUACAACUUCUACUUGGUCAAGCAUCAUUAGGGUAGUGCAGUCACGUACUGUUAACUGUCCACAUUUAGUGAAGCAACUUAUCAAUUUGGCCGAAAAAUUUGCUAAGUAAUUUCUUUAUUAUCUUCAUUCCGUUAAUUACUACAUGUACUAUUUCCCCAUGCAGCACAAUACUCAAGCGUACCUAUUUUGCCUAUAAUUAUGCUACACUGCAAAAAAUUUUGUUUGAAACUACAUUGCAUAGUCGUUUUAACACUAUUCUUAAACAGUUGAAUCAACUUAAUAUUUAGUAAAAUAAAAAGACAACGUUAAAAUAAUCAGUAUAUGUGGUUUUAACUUAAAAUAUUGUAGAAUCACACAAUGUCUUUUAUUUCUACAAUAAUUUACAUAGAAUCUAUUAUUGAUAUCUUAAAUCAAACUAACAAACUCAUUUUGAUUAAAUUAUAUUUGAAACUCUAUCAUGCAGCAUGUUAGAAUACAGUAUAUAAAUUUAGAUUUAACAAUAAUAAUAUUAAUUUGUUCUAACACAGGCACACAUAUAAUUAUAUACAAUCAAUAUUUUUAACAAUCCAUUUAUAAUAGCAUGAGUGAUGUGAAAUUAUAUACAGUCAUGAACAUUGUAAGGAAAUGUACAAGUUUGCAUAGAACCAUAGAUAUUAGAGGACCUAGAAACUAAAAUGAAAUUGUGGGCGUGGCUAUGCUAAGUCUAAGAUUGCGCAUGCUCAGUAGAUCUAGAGCUGUGAAACCAUGUGCUCCAAGAAAAGAGAAGACGAUUACCCUUUCUAUAUGCUGGACAUUUGCUGCUAUAAAUCUGACUGUGAUGAUACUUCUGUGAGAGGUAUGACUGUGACUACACCAAGUGGAUGAUGAUACUUUUAGUUCUGUGAGAGGUAUGACUGUAACUACACCAAGUGGAUGAUGAUACUUCUGUGAGAGAAAUUCCUUAAAUUGGCAAGCUUGACAUGCGAGAACAAACGAAACAAACAGACGAAUGGAUAGAAGUGGCGUCAUUGUUGGAUAAUUAUCCUCUCGGUGAUUGAUAAUACACGGUAAUAAUUAAUAUCAAUAACAAUGAUGUAUUUACUAUUAUAGGUGGACUCUGCGUGGUCAAGAGUGAUCGGUCUGCUAUACUUGUGAGUCCAGUAUGUAACACCAAGAAGAACUAUUCCUUGGGCUAAUUAAUUUAAAACUGUCCUUCUAAUUUAACAUUGUAUACCAUUGUCUCACUCAGUUGUCACGAACGUUUCCUAUCACUAUUUUUGUAUUAACAUGUUAUUUGAAUAAUAAUUGUUAUACCGAUUCAUUUGUAAAUCGUUGUUUUAGGAAUUUAUUUAGCUAUAAUGAGUCUUAUUUAUUAUAAUAAGUAUUUUCUUAAUGGUUGUUUUAAUGUAUGGCUUAAGUAGAUUUGACAAUAAAACACAAUAGUUUUAACCUAGCAAUAAUAAUGUUAAAACUACAUUUAUACAUUAAUACUUAUAAGUAUUUUUAAAUAGUUGUUAUAAUUAUUACAUAAAAGUUGAAUUGACGCUUUUUGUACUUCGUUAAAGCUACAUUAAUAAAUGUCACCUCAGUUUCAAUUG